rnacentral:lncRNA from 1 species
GGUUUGGUUAUCCAAGGGGCAGUGCUGAGCUCCUUGCCAAUGGGAAACGGAAUGCUGGUGAUUUCCAGGAAGUGACCUCACAAUGACUCAAGCUACUGCUUACUGUAGAUUGUGAUGAAAUGCCAGCUGAGGCACAUGCCUUGGGAGCUAAGUGGUUGCUGCACUUGACCGCUAUGAAGACUGGUGUGGGAAUGGUCCUUUUGGAUGCACUUCAGCAGGGGUCCCCAACCCCUGAGCCAUGGAGAUUUAAGGAGCCACACAGCAGGAGAUGGGACCAUCUUGUUGCAGGAAAAUAAGCUUAACAUGUCCACUGAUUCUACAUUAUGCUCCUGCCUCCCGGCAGCCUCUCCAGGUCCAGAACUUUCUCCAGUCGGCCUCUACGGGCCAAGCUUGUGGCUCACAAUGGCCUAUUUAGGCCCAUACCCUACCUCAUGGCAGUCUCCACAGAUGAGGCUGCUGCCUCAUGGCAGCCUCCACAGGCCCAGCUCCAUCAUUACAAUGGCCUCUUUAGGCCCAACUCCUGCCUCCCAGCCUUCUCUCCAGGCCCAGAGAGAAGGUUCUCAAGUCAACCUCACCAGGCCCAGCUACUGCCUCUCAUCAGCCUCCCAAGGGCCAUCUUUUGCCUCACAGCCACCUUCCAAGACUCAGCUCCUGUUUUACAGUGGACUCUUGAGGCCCACCUUUUGCCUCCCAGUGGCCUGUACAGGCCCAGCUCCUGCCAUACAACAGUCUCUUUAGUCCGAGCUCCUGCCUCUGGGCAGCCUAUACAGGCCCAAAAUGUCCAUAAGUCAGCCUCUCAAGGCCAAGCUCCUGCCUUCUUCCGUUGGCCUCUCCAGACCCAGCUGCUGCCUCCAGGUGGCC